GAUGAACGCUAGCGACAGGCUUAACACAUGCAAGUCGAGGGGCAGCGGGGGCGUAGCAAUAUGCCUGCCGGCGACCGGCGCACGGGUGAGUAACACGUAUGUAACCUGCCCUAUGCAGGGGGAUAACCCGGAGAAAUCCGGCCUAAUACCGCGUAACACCUUAGGGGAGCAUUCUCUUGAGGUUAAAGGAGAGAUCCGGCAUAGGAUGGACAUGCGUCGCAUUAGGUAGACGGCGGGGUAACGGCCCACCGUGCCGACGAUGCGUAGGGGUUCUGAGAGGAAGGCCCCCCACACUGGUACUGAGACACGGACCAGACUCCUACGGGAGGCAGCAGUGAGGAAUAUUGGUCAAUGGCCGAGAGGCUGAACCAGCCAAGUCGCGUGAGGGAAGAAUGUCCUAAGGAUUGUAAACCUCUUUUGUCGGGGAGCAAAAAGGCUCUGCGGAGUCGUAUUUGAGAGUACCCGAAGAAAAAGCAUCGGCUAACUCCGUGCCAGCAGCCGCGGUAAUACGGAGGAUGCGAGCGUUAUCCGGAUUUAUUGGGUUUAAAGGGUGCGCAGGCGGCGUGUCAAGCAAGCGGUAAAAUAGCGGGGCUCAACCCCGUCGAGCCGUUUGAACUGGCGCGCUUGAGUUCAGGCGAGGUAGGCGGAAUUCGUGGUGUAGCGGUGAAAUGCAUAGAUAUCACGAAGAACUCCGAUUGCGAAGGCAGCUUACCAGUCUGCGACUGACGCUCAGGCACGAAAGUGUGGGUAUCGAACAGGAUUAGAUACCCUGGUAGUCCACACAGUAAACGAUGAGCGCUAGGUGUCCGGGUCGCAUGAGACUUGGGUGCCCGAGCGAAAGCGUUAAGCGCUCCACCUGGGGAGUACGCCGGCAACGGUGAAACUCAAAGGAAUUGACGGGGGCCCGCACAAGCGGAGGAACAUGUGGUUUAAUUCGAUGAUACGCGAGGAACCUUACCCGGGCUCAAACGACUCAGGAAUAUAUUGGAAACGAUGUAGCCAGCAAUGGUCUGAGUCGAGGUGCUGCAUGGUUGUCGUCAGCUCGUGCCGUGAGGUGUCGGCUUAAGUGCCAUAACGAGCGCAACCCCUACCGCCAGUUGCCAACGGGUAAAGCCGGGAACUCUGGCGGGACUGCCGGCGCAAGCUGUGAGGAAGGCGGGGAUGACGUCAAAUCAGCACGGCCCUUACGUCCGGGGCGACACACGUGUUACAAUGGCAGGUACAGCGGGAAGCCACCUGGUGACAGGGAGCGGAACCCGAAAGCCUGUCUCAGUUCGGAUUGGAGUCUGCAACUCGACUCCAUGAAGCUGGAUUCGCUAGUAAUCGCGCAUCAGCCAUGGCGCGGUGAAUAAAUUCCCGGGCCUUGCACACACCGCCCGUCA
rnacentral:rRNA from 1 species